rnacentral:misc_RNA from 1 species
AUGGAAUUAACCACCCUGGCGUCA